AAGUAAAAGUCGUAACAAGGUUUCCGUAGGUGAACCUGCGGAAGGAUCAUUAUCGUACAAUGGAGGUGCUGGGGUUGUCGCUGACUUUUGAAAGGGUCGUGCACACCUCGGUGCUCUCGCACAUAAUCCAUCUCACCCCUUUUGUGCAUCACCGCGUGGGGACCCCUUUUGGCUAGUUCUGAGGGGGGUUUUCACGUUUUUACACAGACACCCUUUUAAUGCAAUGUGUAGAAUGUCUUACUUUUUGCGAUCACACGCAAUCAAUACAACUUUCAACAACGAUCUCGUAUGAGAAUUGCAGAAUUCAGUGAAUCAUCGAAUCUUUGAACGCACCUUGCGCCCUUUGGCAUUCCGAGGGGCACACCCGUUUGAGUGUCGUGACAUCCUCAAAACCUUCUUGGUUUCUUGACCGGGAAGGCUUUUGGACUUUGGAGGCUUUUCUGGCCUUCCUUUGUUGGAGCCAGCUCCUCUGAAAUGAAUUAGUGGGGUCUGCUUUGCCGAUCCUUGACGUGAUAAGAUGUUUUCUACGUCUUGGGUUUCGCACUGUUCGAUCUGGAUCCUGCUUCUAACUGUCUCAUAGAAGACAAUGGUCAAGUGAUUGCCACUUGACCCACAAACCUUGACCUCAAAUCGGGUGAGACUACCCGCUGAACUUAAGCAUAUCAAUAAGCGGAGGAAGG
rnacentral:rRNA from 1 species